rnacentral:rRNA from 1 species
AUGCAAGUCGAGCGGGGGAAGGUAGCUUGCUACCGGACCUAGCGGCGGACGGGUGAGUAAUGCUUAGGAAUCUGCCUAUUAGUGGGGGACAACAUCUCGAAAGGGAUGCUAAUACCGCAUACGUCCUACGGGAGAAAGCAGGGGAUCUUCGGACCUUGCGCUAAUAGAUGAGCCUAAGUCGGAUUAGCUAGUUGGUGGGGUAAAGGC